GACGAACGCUGGCGGCGUGCUUAACACAUGCAAGUCGAACGGUGCGGCGAACGGGUGAGUAACGCGUGAGUAACUGCCCCCCUCUCUGGGAUAACAGUUGGAAACGGCUGCUAAUACCGGAUAUUGGGGGAUGACUCGCGUCCUAUCAGCUUGUUGGUGGGGUAGUGGCAUACCAUGGCGACGACGGGUAGCCGGCCUGGGAGGGCGCCCGGCCACAUGGGGCGGAGAUAGGGCCCAAAGUGGUACGGGGGGCAGUAGGGGGGAAUAUUGCACAAUGGGGGAAACCCUGAGGCAGCAACGCCGCGCGCGGGAUGACGGCCUGCGGGUUGUAAAACACUUUCAGCCAUGACGCGGUAGUGGCAGAAGAAGCACCGGCUAACUACGUGCCAGCAGCCGCGGUAAUUC
rnacentral:rRNA from 1 species